AAUUGAGUUGAUACCUUUCUGAUUCAGAAGCUAAGCAGGGUCAGAUCUGGUUAACCUGGGAUGGGAGACCAACAGGAAAUAGCAGGGAUCUCCAUUG
rnacentral:rRNA from 1 species